GGCCCGACUCCGGUUGAUCCUGCCGGAUCCGACUGCUAUCAGGGUGAGACUAAGCCAUGCGAGUCUACACUCUGGGCCACGACAGAGUGUGGCACACGGCUCAGUAAUACACGGUCAACCUACCCUUAGGACGCGGAUAACCGCGGGAAAGGUGAAUUGUAAUCCUAAACACUACAGUUCACCCUCGAGACUGCGGAUAAUCCGUGAUAGGGGAGAAUGCCUGGGAUGGUUUCUCCCCGAAAGGGCUUCAGAGUCAUGCCCUCUGAAGCCGCCUAAGGAUGGGAUCGUGCCCGAUCAGGUAGUUGGUGGGGUAACGGCCCACCAAGCCUAAGACCGGUGCGGGCCGUGAGAGCGGGAGCCCGGAGAUGGACCCUGAGACAAGGGUCCAGGCCCUACGGGGCGCAGCAGGCGCG
rnacentral:rRNA from 1 species